rnacentral:rRNA from 1 species
CCUACGGGCGACAGCAGUGAGGAAUAUUGGUCAAUGGGCGGGAGCCUGAACCAGCCAAGUCGCGUGAGGGAAGACGGUCCUACGGAUUGUAAACCUCUUUUGCCGGGGAGCAACGGGGUCCUUGCGAGGGCCCGAUGAGAGUACCCGGAGAAAAAGCAUCGGCUAACUCCGUGCCAGCAGCCGCGGUAAUACGGAGGAUGCGAGCGUUAUCCGGAUUUAUGGGGUUUAAAGGGUGCGUAGGCGGGCUGUUAAGUCAGCGGUCAAAUGUCGGGGCUCAACCCCGUCGUGCCGUUGAAACUGGCGUUCUUGAGUGAGCGAGAAGUAUGCGGAAUGCGUGGUGUAGCGGUGAAAUGCAUAGAUAUCACGCAGAACUCCGAUUGCGAAGGCAGCAUACCGGCGCUCAACUGACGCUCAUGCACGAAAGCGUGGGUAUCGAACAGGAUUAGAUACCCUAGUAGUC